UUUAUACUCCCUCCGUCUGAAAAUACUUGUCAUCAAAAUGGACAAAAAGGGAUGUAUCUAAAACUAAAAUACAUCUAGAUACAUCCCUUUUAUCCAUUUUGAUGACAAGUAUUUCCGGACGAAGGGAGUAUAUA
rnacentral:pre_miRNA from 1 species